rnacentral:rRNA from 1 species
GACGAACGCUGGCGGCGUGCUUAACACAUGCAAGUCGAACGGAAAGGCCCUGCUUUUGUGGGGUGCUCGAGUGGCGAACGGGUGAGUAACACGUGAGUAACCUGCCCUUGACUUUGGGAUAACUUCAGGAAACUGGGGCUAAUACCGGAUAGGAGCUCCUGCUGCAUGGUGGGGGUUGGAAAGUUUCGGCGGUUGGGGAUGGACUCGCGGCUUAUCAGCUUGUUGGUGGGGUAGUGGCUUACCAAGGCUUUGACGGGUAGCCGGCCUGAGAGGGUGACCGGCCACAUUGGGACUGAGAUACGGCCCAGACUCCUACGGGAGGCAGCAGUGGGGAAUAUUGCACAAUGGGCGGAAGCCUGAUGCAGCAACGCCGCGUGCGGGAUGACGGCCUUCGGGUUGUAAACCGCUUUCGCCUGUGACGAAGCGUGAGUGACGGUAAUGGGUAAAGAAGCACCGGCUAACUACGUGCCAGCAGCCGCGGUGAUACGUAGGGUGCGAGCGUUGUCCGGAUUUAUUGGGCGUAAAGGGCUCGUAGGUGGUUGAUCGCGUCGGAAGUGUAAUCUUGGGGCUUAACCCUGAGCGUGCUUUCGAUACGGGUUGACUUGAGGAAGGUAGGGGAGAAUGGAAUUCCUGGUGGAGCGGUGGAAUGCGCAGAUAUCAGGAGGAACACCAGUGGCGAAGGCGGUUCUCUGGGCCUUUCCUGACGCUGAGGAGCGAAAGCGUGGGGAGCGAACAGGCUUAGAUACCCUGGUAGUCCACGCUGUAAACGGUGGGUACUAGGUGUGGGGUCCAUUCCACGGGUUCCGUGCCGUAGCUAACGCUUUAAGUACCCCGCCUGGGGAGUACGGCCGCAAGGCUAAAACUCAAAGGAAUUGACGGGGCCCCGCACAAGCGGCGGAGCAUGCGGAUUAAUUCGAUGCAACGCGUAGAACCUUACCUGGGUUUGACAUGGAUCGGGAGCGCUCAGAGAUGGGUGUGCCUCUUUUGGGGUCGGUUCACAGGUGGUGCAUGGCUGUCGUCAGCUCGUGUCGUGAGAUGUUGGGUUAAGUCCCGCAACGAGCGCAACCCUUGUUCACUGUUGCCAGCACGUUAUGGUGGGGACUCAGUGGAGACCGCCGGGGUCAACUCGGAGGAAGGUGGGGAUGACGUCAAGUCAUCAUGCCCCUUAUGUCCAGGGCUUCACGCAUGCUACAAUGGCUGGUACAGAGAGUGGCGAGCCUGUGAGGGUGAGCGAAUCUCGGAAAGCCGGUCUCAGUUCGGAUUGGGGUCUGCAACUCGACCUCGUGAAGUCGGAGUCGCUAGUAAUCGCAGAUCAGCAACGCUGCGGUGAAUACGUUCCCGGG